rnacentral:rRNA from 1 species
GAUGAACGCUGGCGGCGUGCCUAAUACAUGCAAGUCGAGCGAACAGACGAGGAGCUUGCUCCUCUGACGUUAGCGGCGGACGGGUGAGUAACACGUGGAUAACCUACCUAUAAGACUGGGAUAAAUUCGGGAAACCGGAGCUAAUACCGGAUAAUAUAUUGAACCGCAUGGUUCAAUAGUGAAAGACGGUUUUGCUGUCACUUCUCGAUGGAUCCGCGCCGCAUUAGCUAGUUGGUAAGGUAACGGCUUACCAAGGCGACGAUGCGUAGCCGACCUGAGAGGGGGAUCGACCACACUGGAACUGAGACACGGUCCAGACUCCUACGGGAGGCAGCAGUAGGGAAGCUUCCGCAAUGGGCGAAAGCCUGACGGAGCAGCGCCGCGUGAGUGAUGAAGGUCUUCGGAUCGUAAAACUCUGUUAUGAGGGAAGAACAAAUGUGUAAGUAACUAUGCACGUCUUGACGGUACCUAAUCAGAAAGCCACGGCUAACUACGUG